rnacentral:lncRNA from 1 species
CCAUCGGUAUUGGUCUAUCAUCUAGGAAAGGUGGUGGAGGCUAUGCAGUUGGUCUUCACUUCCAGAGGUAUCUUAGAGGAGUAGAAGAAGACUCUGAUCACUCCAUCUUGAAGCAUCCUGAUACAUCUAUCCUAGAGCACUUCAGUAAAGUGUGUGCCAGGAAUUUAGUCGGGUGGCUAAAGAUUAUCCCUUCACUAAUUAGUCUAAAGUACGAUGC